rnacentral:lncRNA from 1 species
GCCGAGCUCUGUAACGAGAGCUUGUGACCCAAGUGGGGGCAUUAAUGUGAUUGAACGUUGGGCCAAAUCACUCAGCUGGGCUUCGAGCUGCUUUUCUGGCCCGCCCGUUCCAAGCGGUGGAGUUGGGCCAUGCGGUCCAUUCGAAGGAAUGGGUCACGUGGUUCCUAGAGUGGAGGGCAUCGCGUCAGGCUGGUUUCACAGAGCAGCGUUAAACUUCCCGCUCUCUGCAGUGGAAGGAUAACGGGCCUGUGCUGUUCGGGUCCAUUCAAGUUGAUUUGGUUGGCCCAAUUGAACAAUCACUUUUUUGCCAAAUAUUUGAUUCAUUAUAAUCGAUUUUUUUUGGGGCUCGUUUAAUAAGCCAUUUUUUGUGAUUUUUGCUACAACUCAGUUUGUGUAUACAAUAGCUGUUGCAACAUAAUAUCAAUUUUCUUGCCGAGCUCCAUGAUAUCAUAAUUGUUAUUAAACAAAUAACAUAAUUAAAUUUGAAAGAGACUAUAAUUUGAAAUAAUCCUUAGGUUAACGUAAAAGCAAGUUUUUUAUGUUUCCAUAGUUAUUGUAACUAUAAUUUGAAAUAAUCAUUAGAUUUUUUCUAUUCUAUUUCUACGAAUAAUAAGCAAGCUCUCAAAAUUUUGUGGUUGAAACUGUUUAUAUUAUAUUCUCGAACUUAAAAAAAUCAUAAGUUUCUUGAAUUUUUGAGAGAAAAGAAAUUAUAAAUAAUAGAGUAGUAUAUAAUUUGUAAGCUUUUAGUUAAUUCUUUACAUAAGAAGGAAUUAAUCCUAAUUUAGUUUCGUAUACUGUUGGUGUGUAUAAGGGUGAAUUUGUGAAGAAGGGUUCGCGAAGGAACAUAUUUGGUAAUAGAGAUGAUCGCAUAUCAUGUUGCUUGACACUACAUGAUUUAUUGGUUGCUUCUUUUUCUGUUAAUUCAUGAUUGAAAAGUCUUCAACUCAUGACAACCUAUUUAUUUCUGGGUUGAACUUAAAAACAAUUAAAAUAACUCUUACUGCUCACAAAUUUUCCAUUGGAUUUUCUAUGAAAGAUUUUAACAUGGUUCGUUCCUUGAAUUUUUGGUUUAUUAGAUCAAAACUUAAAUGGAUAUUUCAUUUACAUAAGAAUUAAUAGUUGGUCUCUUAGAUGGGUUUUAUAAAUUAAUCUUGGGUCAUCUUUUAUAGUUUGCUUAGAUCGUAAGAAAAUUUAUAUUUAAAAUUAGUUAAAUAUAUAUAAUGGUUGGCGUAGGGAUUUAUUUUUACUUCAUUGCUCUCUAUCCCCAAAAUAGGUAAAAUGUUCUUUUUUUUAAUUACAAUUCACACACACUCAUACUAAUCACGCAUACCGAGCGUGUUACCAUGUAUUAAUAAACUUGAAAAUGAAGAAAUUGACACAUCACGAAAUUAUUAAAUCCUUAUAACCUUUUUUUUUUUUUCUUUNUUAUAGAAAUGGGGUUAGCCCCUUAUAAUUUUAUCUUUAAUGGAAGACCAGUAUUUUCAGGAUUACCUAAGAAAAAAUGUAAAUGGACGGAUGAAAACGAACUUGUUACGUAAUUUUGGGAUAAAAAUAGUGUUGUAUUUUCCAAGUAUUUUGAAAGUUCAUAACAGAUUCUAAUGACCAGUUACUAGACAAAGAUGUCCGGAAGAAAUCUUUGUUUUAUCGUCAUCCCACAUCGGUCUCAAUACUAUAGGAUUACUACUUGAUAUACGGAAAGUCGAUGGAAUAUGACGCCGAGCUCUGCAACGGGAGCUUGUGACCCAAGUGGGGGCGUUAAUGUGAUUGAACUGUUGGGCCAAAUCACUCAGUUGGGUCUCGGGUAGCUUUUCUGGCCUGCCCGUUCCAAGCGGUGGAGUUGGGCCAUGCGGCCCGUGCGAAGGUAUGGGCCGCGUGUCUCCUAAAGUGGGUGGCACCGCGUCAGGCUGGUUUCACAGAGCAGCGUUAAACUUCCCGCUCUUCGCAGUGGAAGGAUUACGGGCCGGUGCUGUUUGGGCCCCGUUCAAACUGAUUUGGUUGGCCCAAUUGAACAAUCAUUUUUUUAAAAAAAUUUGGAUCCUUUUAUUAUAAGCGAAUUUUGAUAAUUUUUCCAUCCAACACGUGUUUCCUUAACCACACGAUUUGUUUUUUGAUAUUGUGACAUACCGUAUAAUUAUAUUUAUGAUUAGUGCCCGUAAUUUGAUUUUUUCAUACAUAUUAAAAAAUAUAAUUAUUCCAUUUUGCACAUCUUUAUUGUUCCACAUUAUUUUCACAGAUAUUAUUAAAU